GGUCCGGUAGCUCAGCUGGAUAGAGCAACAGCCUUCUAAGCUGUGGGUCAAGGGUUCGAAUCCCUUCCGGAUCA
rnacentral:tRNA from 1 species